GCCCUCAAGAACACCGGCGCUGCACUCUCCGAGUUCGGCCAGAGCGAGCUCCAUGACCACGGUCAGUCUCAUGCCUCCGCCGCAGCCGCUUCUUCCUCCUCGUCCUCCUCCUCCGUCGCCGUUGGGAUGAAGCCAUCACUCCCUCCGCCUCCCCCUCCUCCCCCUUCCGACUCAUCCACCUCCCCUGCCGCCCCCAUCCAGCGCUCCGCCAGCAUGCCUGCUGACUUCGCGAUCUCCAAAUCCAAGAAGAAAUCCCUCGGCAAAAUCCCCGCCGAUGCCUCGAUCC
rnacentral:lncRNA from 1 species